GGGGGAGGGAGGACCACUAAGAGGGAGAGGGGGGAGUGAGAAGUCCACCAAGGGGGGACUGCAGAGGGACAGGGGGCCAAGGGAGAGCACUAAGGGACAGAAAGGGAGAACACUAAUUGACAGGAGGGGUGAGCACUAUGAAUUUUUUUAAACAAAAUAAAGAGCUGCUCCCCUCUCAGUCCCUAUCCUACCCCACAAAACCCUCUCUUUUACACUACACACAUACACAAUUCAUCCCCACACACACACACACACACAGAAACAUACAAUGCAUCCUUACUCACACACAGACACACCCGAAACACACAAUGCAUCCCUUACGCUCACACAAACACUCAUUCUCUUACACACAGAAACAAAAUGCAUCUCUUACACACUCAAUGCACCCCUUACAGACACACACUGCUUUCAAUUACAUACACAGAAACACACCUUGCAUCCCUUACACACACACACACACACACACACACACACACACACCCAGAAACAUACAAUGCAUUCCUUACACGCAAACACACACUGCAUCCACUAUACACACACUACAUCCCUUACACAAAUUGGUAUUCCUAUACACUACAUUCUAUAAGAACAGACACAAAUUGCAUUCUCUACAAUAACACAUAAAACAUCCCCUACACACAUACACUCCACUACCUGUGAG